rnacentral:misc_RNA from 1 species
GAUGAAGAACGCAGCGAAAUGCGAUACUUGGUGUGAAUUGCAGAAUCCCGUGAACCAUCGAGUCUUUGAACGCAAGUUGCGCCCGAAGCCAUUAGGCCGAGGGCACGCCUGCCUGGGCGUCACACGUCGUUGCCCCCCCAUCUACUCCUUCGGGAUUGCGGGGGGCGGAUGAUGGCCUCCCGUGCGCCUCGUCGCGCGGUUGGCCUAAAUGCCAAGUCCUCGGCGACGCACGCCACGACAAUCGGUGGUUGCGAAACCUCGGUUGCCUGUCGUGUGCGGUCGUCGCGCAUCGAGGGCUCGAAAAAAUUGCCGGGCUUCGGCUCGACUUUCAACGCGACCCCAGGUCAGGCGGGGUUACCCGCUGAAUUUAAGCAUAUCAAUAAGCGGAGG